rnacentral:rRNA from 1 species
GAGUUUGAUUAUGGCUCAGGAUGAACGCUGGCGGCGUGCUUAACACAUGCAAGUCGAACGCAGUGUAUAUGGAGAGUCCUUUCGGGGAAAGGAAAUAUAGACUGAGUGGCGGACGGGUGAGUAACACGUGGGUAACCUACCCUAUACAGGGGGAUAACAGAUAGAAAUAUCUGCUAAUACCGCAUAAGACUCCGGAUUCGCAUGAAUCAGAAGUAAAAACUAAGGUGGUAUAGGAUGGACCUGCGUCUGAUUAGGUAGUUGGAGAGGUAAAGGCUCCCCAAGCCGACGAUCAGUAGCCGAUCUGAGAGGAUGACCGGCCACAUUGGGACUGAGACACGGCCCAAACUCCUACGGGAGGCAGCAGUGGGGAAUAUUGGACAAUGGGCGAAAGCCUGAUCCAGCGACGCCGCGUGAGUGAAGAAGUAUUUCGGUAUGUAAAGCUCUAUCAGCAGGGAAGAAAAUGACGUACCUGACUAAGAGCCCCG